ensembl:snoRNA
UGCCCUUGGCCAUGGACAAAGAGAUACCUAGUUGGUGGUAUUGUUCCUAUGUCAGUCAGGGGCAGAGCAGAUGGCGGUCCUUUGUUCAUCCUAGCUUGAUGCCUGGUUUGGUGGCCAAAGCUUAUGCCUAGGACACGUAA